rnacentral:tRNA from 1 species
ACAGUGGUGGUUCAGUGGUAGAAUUCUCAUCUUCUGCGUGGGAGUCUUGGGUUAGAGUCCUGGCCAAGGUA